rnacentral:rRNA from 1 species
UACGGAGGGUGCAAGCGUUAAUCGGAAUUACUGGGCGUAAAGCGUGCGUAGGUGGUUUGUUAAGUUAGAUGUGAAAGCCCUGGGCUCAACCUAGGAACUGCAUUUAAAACUGGCAAACUAGAGUAUAGGAGAGGAAAGUGGAAUUUCAGGUGUAGCGGUGAAAUGCGUAGAUAUCUGAAGGAACAUCAAUGGCGAAGGCAGCUUUCUGGACUAAUACUGACACUGAGGUACGAAAGCGUGGGUAGCAAACAGGAUUAGAUACCCUGGUAGUCCACGCCGUAAACGAUGACAACUAGCCGUUGGGAGGAUUUACCUCUUAGUGGCGAAGCUAACGCGUUAAGUUGUCCGCCUGGGGAGUACGGCCGCAAGGUUAAAACUCAAAGGAAUUGACGGGGACCCGCACAAGCGGUGGAGCAUGUGGUUUAAUUCGAUGCAACGCGAAGAACCUUACCUGGUCUUGACAUACACGGAACUUUCCAGAGAUGGAUUGGUGCCUUCGGGAACCGUGAUACAGGUGCUGCAUGGCUGUCGUCAGCUCGUGUCGUGAGAUGUUGGGUUAAGUCCCGUAACGAGCGCAACCCUUAUCCUUAUUUGCCAGCACAUCAUGGUGGGAACUAUAAGGAGACUGCCGGUGAUAAACCGGAGGAAGGCGGGGACGACGUCAAGUCAUCAUGGCCCUUACGACCAGGGCUACACACGUGCUACAAUGGGAAGGACAAAGGGUUGCUAAGCCGCGAGGUGGUGCUAAUCUCAUAAACCUUUUCGUAGUCCGGAUCGGAGUCUGCAACUCGACUCCGUGAAGUCGGAAUCGCUAGUAAUCGUAGAUCAGAACGCUACGGUGAAUACGUUCCCGGGUC